UAGCCAAGGAUGACUUGCCUACAUAAUACUACCAAUUUCAAGCUGAAAUGCUACUUGUUUGGUUGACAUGUUAGGCAGUCAUCUAUGGCUUUG